rnacentral:rRNA from 1 species
GACGAACGCUGGCGGCGUGCCUAAUACAUGCAAGUAGAACGCUGAAGGAGGAGCUUGCUUCUCUGGAUGAGUUGCGAACGGGUGAGUAACGCGUAGGUAACCUGCCUGGUAGCGGGGGAUAACUAUUGGAAACGAUAGCUAAUACCGCAUAAGAGUAGAUGUUGCAUGACAUUUACUUAAAAGGUGCAAUUGCAUCACUACCAGAUGGACCUGCGUUGUAUUAGCUAGUUGGUGAGGUAACGGCUCACCAAGGCAACGAUACAUAGCCGACCUGAGAGGGUGAUCGGCCACACUGGGACUGAGACACGGCCCAGACUCCUACGGGAGGCAGCAGUAGGGAAUCUUCGGCAAUGGACGGAAGUCUGACCGAGCAACGCCGCGUGAGUGAAGAAGGUUUUCGGAUCGUAAAGCUCUGUUGUAAGAGAAGAACGAGUGUGAGAGUGGAAAGUUCACACUGUGACGGUAGCUUACCAGAAAGAGACGGCUAACUACGUG